CUCCAAGGCCCCACUUUUUUGUCAACACUCCUUGGACGCAGCAGAAGUAUGAACAUAAUAUGGUCCUGAAUGAGGCUGAGUCUUUGGGCGCAGAAGACCCGGGUUAAUAAAAAUAGGAAGAAUCAGAUGCUGCCCUUGUGGCCAGUUGGGUUCCCACCCACCUGAUUCUGGAGCCCUGGACCAGAGCCCUACGUUCACCAUGGGAAGAGACCUUGUGAUAAGCCACUCCUGAAGGCAUGGCCUAACUCUGGACACAGGUGGACAGUGGGUCACCACCAGGCUUGGCCACCACCCAGAUCCCCUUGGACCAGGAGAUCAAGGCUUCGUGCUCCAUCAAGGACAUGAAACAAAACAAUGGGGAGGAAUAAAACAGGAGACCUAAAAAAGGAGGCUGGCCUUUGCCCCACGGCCUUGGCUGCAGCACCAUCACAUGCCUCCACGCCUCUCCAUCUCCUCAUGAAGAUCUCUCUCCAGAUAGAGACCAUUUCCUCCCUAGAGGAAUCCUUGUACUAUCCGUAGGUGAGAACACUUCACCUCAUUACCUGGAUGUGGAGUGUUGAAGCUGGAAGGGAUCCCAGAGAUCGGAAGUGAGAGGGAGAAAACAAUGAACUUUGAGUGCAAAAAGAGAAGGAAGGAAAAGGUAGAAGAGAAAGAGAGAGAGGAGACAAAGGAGGAAAAAGGUGGUAGAGAAUGAUAUGGGGUUUCAACAUGUUGGCCAGGCUGGUCUCGAACUCCUGACCUCAGGUGAUCCACCAGCCUCAGCUUCCCAAAGUGCUGGAAUUACAG
ensembl:lncRNA DRAIC downregulated RNA in cancer, inhibitor of cell invasion and migration